CUAAAUAAUCUAACGGCUAAAUUAUGUAGUUCCAAAUUUCUCCUGGUUUCGUCGUAGCGCUUUGUUUGGUGGCAGCAUGUUACGCCAACGUGCAAUGGGGGCAAUGCAGUUGUGGCUGCAUCAAAUCCGAGUGUGACUUUCCCCGAACGGCGGACGAAUGCAGUCGCUGCGCGAGUUUGGUGAAUGCCCCGAGCAGCAGUUUUGACGAGGGAAAAUGUUGGAUCAAGGUCGCCAACAUAUCCCCGAUGGAUUGUGGACUUCGCUGCUACCGAUCACUUUCCGGUUGUUCUGGAUUCGGUGGGGUGUCCCACUACACGUAUGGAAAUAUGUGCUGGUGCGUUUACAAAAAGCCCUGAAACAAUGUAACAUCUCCAAAUAAUCACUUGAUUUGCAUAAAUUUAUCACAAUCAAAACUUUGUGAUUCGUAAUUAAAAUCCUUCAAAAUUAAAGUUGAUCAAUAAAAGGAAACAAA